UGGCCACCAGGGAGGAGCGACAUGAGAGCAGAGAACCCGGUGUCUCCACAGUUGAGGAAAUGAGUCCAUGGGGCUGGUCAGGGCUCUCGAUUUCAUUUUGACAUGAGAUGACUUUGUGUAGUCACCACCUGAGUCCUAUACAGUGAACAGCCAGGGAGCCAUGGACAGAUUCACCCCUGAGGAAUCCAGUAGAACGUGAAGUCUGGCCUGAGGUCAUGUACAAAAGACUCAGGGGGCUGCCUGGCCUGGCCCUGAUGGAGAGGGCCGUGGACAGAACAACCGGGAGGGAGGGGUGUCUCUGAGAGGCUCUGGUCACCUUGUCAUACAAUGGUGGUGUACAAUGUCACACAAUGGACACGAGGGGGCGCCAGCGUACUAUUCCUGAGAAGACUGGGUGUGAUGAGAGCAGGACCAGCGCCAAGUGUCCUGCUUGGUGCCCUAUGCUUAGGGCUCAUAGAUGUGAACUCUCCACCCCCUGGGACCACACGGCCCCACCCCUGCCACUCCCUGACAUUCUCAGGCAGAGGAGCUUGACCCAGGGCCCAGGGUGGGAUCAGAAAGCUGGAGGAUCUGAUUUGCAUGAAUAGAUCCUCCUUCUCUCAGAGUAUAAAGAGGGGCAGGGAGAGAUUUGGGGAAGCUCUGCCUCAGCUGUGAGCACAGAAGGCAGGACUCGGGACAAUCUUCAUCAUGACCUGGUCCCCUCUCCUCCUCACCCUUCUCAUUCACUGCACAGGGUCCUGGGCCCAGUCUGUGCUGACGCAGCCGCCCUCAGUGUCUGCGGCCCCAGGGCAGAGGGUCACCAUCUCCUGCUCUGGAAGCAGCUUCAACUUCAGGAGGUAUUAUGUGUCCUGGUACCAGCAGCUCCCAGGAGCAGCCACCAAGCUCCUCAUCUAUGAUGUUAAUAAGCGACCCUCAGGGGUCCCUGACCGAUUCUCUGGCUCCCAGUCUGGCACCUCAGCCACCCUGGGCAUCACUGGACUCUGGCCUGAGGAUGAGGCUGAUUAUUACUGCUUAGCAUGGAACAGCAGCCUGAGUGCUCGCACGGUGCUCCAGGCCAAUGGGGAACUGAGACAAGAACCCCCUUCCUCCUCUGCCAGGAGGGUGAGUGCCUGCAGCUGCUGCUCACGCCUGACCUGUAGCUUCUGCUGCUGCAGCUUCCCCCAUGGGCCUAGGGACAGCCAGGGCCCUCCUAGGAGUGGAGGCUCCACCACUUUUGUCCUCAGAGUCAGGAACAGGGACCCCAGGAAUCAGAACAUCCUGCUCCCACAGCUUGGAUCACAGGGUCUCUGCACUGAAAUCCUGGGCUGA